UUCUGAAAAAGGCAUAACCGGAGAAAUCCGGCGACGCAAAGCUAUGGGUCCUACCCCUCACGGGAAGGAUCGCCAAGCUACCAAA
rnacentral:ncRNA from 1 species